GCGGAUAGAAUUCCAGUCUGAAAGAUCGGGGAAGCAAAUGAUUGGGAGACUAUUUCAACAGUCUGGUAGAGCAGUGGUAAGAAAAGUUUACCCAAGACACUGCUAUUACAAAGUGUGACUUAAGGAGAAGAAAGUGCCAGUUUUGCUUAUUUAUUCAGCACAUAUAUAAUUGCUCGCCCACUGCACAGAAAGCGCUCUAACAGGUACUGGAGACAGACAGAUAGACAAGAAAGGUGAAACUCAACCUCAUGAAACUCACGAGCUAUUAGAGAAGAUGUAUCCUAAACAAAUAAGCAAAUGCACAGAUGAAACAAUUUCAUGCAGUGCUUUUCUAAUGUAAUAAUUAAAGAAUGGAAGCAACGUGUUCUAUAUAAGUCAGCUAUAAAGCACAAUAAUAAAGAGAACACUCCUGCAACGUCACAAAUCAAGAAACAGUGUUUGAAUAUUGAGCUGCAAAUCAAGCAAUGUGAUAUUCAGACUGAUUAAUGACUUGGAGAUUUCAUCUAUUGCGUUUCCAUGUCCCUGAACUGAGGAAACCAAGGUGCUCAGCUGGAGAAGAACAUCAUUGAAUCUUUGAUCAGUCACCAGACUAAAAUUUUGGAAAUGCUCUGAAUCUAUGAGAUUGGCUUCUGUAUCUGAAAUAAAUUGGAUUCUCUUC